UACAGAGGGGGCAAGCGUUGUUCGGAAUUACUGGGCGUAAAGGGCGCGUAGGCGGCCUUCUAAGUCGAACGUGAAAUCCCCGGGCUCAACCCGGGAACUGCAUCCGAAACCAUCUCGCUCGAGUAUGGGAGAGGGAAGCGGAAUUCCUGGUGUAGAGGUGAAAUUCGUAGAUAUCAGGAGGAACACCAAUGGCGAAGGCAGCUCACUGGGACGGUAUUGACGCUGAGACGGCGAAAAGCG
rnacentral:rRNA from 1 species